ACCCUUAGAUGUUCUGGGCUGCACGCGUGUUACAAUCGGGAGUACAACAAGAUUGCAAAUCCUAGUGGAUGAGUGGUUCUUCGAAAUUUUCUGAAGACUGGGAUAGUUGAUUGAAAUUAUUCAACUCAAACGAGGAAUUCCUUGUAAUUGUAAUUCAUUAUAUUGUAAUGAAUACGUCCCUGCCCUUUGUACACACCCACCGCCCGUCGCUCCUACCGAUUGAACGAUCCGGUGAAUUAUUUGGAGUAGCUCUGGAAGUUGCAGAACUUCCUAUGUCACGAAAUUUUGUAAACCUUAUCGUUUAGAGGAAGGAAAAGUCGUAACA
rnacentral:rRNA from 1 species